rnacentral:rRNA from 1 species
CCCGACUGCUAUUUGGGUGAGGAUAAGCCAUGCGAGUUGUAUGGGAUACCUAAAUUUCCCAUGGCAAACUGCUUAGUAACACAUGAUCAACUUACCCUAUGGAGAAAAAUAACCUCGGGAAACUGAGGAUAAUGUUUCAUAGGUGAAUAGGCUUGGAAAAGUUUUUCAUCGAAAAGGAUAAGAAAAAUGGUUUUUAUCUGCCAUAGGAUAGGAUCGUGGUCGAUUAUGGUUGUUGGUGAGGUAACGGCUCACCAAGCCGACAAUCGAUAGGGGCCGUGAGAGCGGGAGCCCCAAGAUGGGUACUGAGACAGCGACCCAGGCCUUACGAGGCGCAGCAGGCGCGGAACCUCCGCAAUACACGAAAGUGUGACGGGGUUACCCAAAGUGUUCUUUAAAGAACUGUGGUAGGUGAGUAAUAUCCCCUACUAGAAAGGAGAGGGCAAGGCUGGUGCCAGCCGCCGCGGUAAAACCAGCUCUUCAAGUGGUCGGGAUAAUUAUUGGGCUUAAAGUGUCCGUAGCCGGUUUAGUAAGUUCCUGGUAAAAUCGGGUAGCUUAACUAUCCGCAUGCUAGGAAUACUGCUAUACUAGAGGGCGGGAGAGGUCUGAGGUACUACAGGGGUAGGGGUGAAAUCUUAUAAUCCUUGUAGGACCACCAGUGGCGAAGGCGUCAGACUGGAACGCGCCUGACGGUGAGGGACGAAAGCCAGGGGAGCGAACCGGAUUAGAUACGUUGGUGUUAUUUGAAUGUAAUGUAAGAAUUACUAACACAAUGCUAAAAACCCGGGUAGUCCUGGCCGUAAACGAUGCAUACUAGGUGAUGAUACGGCCAUGAGCCGUGUCAGUGCCGUAGGGAAACCGUUAAGUGUGCCGCCUGGGAAGUACGGUCGCAAGGCUAAAAC